ACUGCCAGGCGUGUGGCUGGACACUGCCAGGCGCUGGCUGGCCGGCGUCUGGCCGCCGGCGUGGGCCUUGCCGUGGCUAACCGCCGUCUCCCUCUGCAGCUGAAGAAGAAGCCCAAGAUCAUGCAGCAGCAUCUUGAUUAUUGUUUCCCUGGUUUAUGGCUAUCCAAGAUAACUCCUCGAUCCUACAAAGCCAAUGAAUAAGACAUGUGUUCUUAUAGUCCGUAUACAUUGUGAAGGUUGUAAGGAUAGGUCAGGAAGAAGGUGCAGAAGGUUCAAGAAGGAAAAUGUUUGUCUGGCAAACUCUAUAUCUGAAAUGCAUAUAUUUGGAGUAAUCUAUAAUAUCAAAUGGUUCUCAUACUUUGGCACAUGAAUCCAAUGAUUUGGGUAAAAAAGAUAAAAAGAAGAAAGGAACAAAAAGAGGAAGGCACUUUGAUAGAGAUUCUCGAGCUACUAAUCCAGAGGUCUCAAUUUGGUGUGAUCUCACUGUAGUUGAAGACAGCUGUAUUUGUUCACCUCUUUUCGG